AUGAGAUGUUUGAGGUUGUUGAACAUAGACUUUGUCUCAGGCACUUGUAUGCAAAUUUUAAGAAAAAAUUUGGAGGAGGGUCAGCAAUUAGAGACUUGAUGAUGGGGGCAUCCAAGGCAACUUAUUACCAAGCUUGGGAAAAAAAGAUGCAACAGUUGAAGGCAAUCGAUGUACCAGCAUGGGAGUGGCUUAUGCUUGUGCCUACCAAGCUUUGGUGUAAGCAUGCCUUCUCUUUCUAUUCUAAGUGUGAUGUUUUAAUG
rnacentral:lncRNA from 1 species